CCUACGGGUGGCAGCAGUGGGGAAUAUUGGGCAAUGGAGGAAACUCUGACCCAGCAACGCCGCGUGAAUGAUGAAGGUCUUCGGAUUGUAAAGUUCUUUUCUAAGGGAAGAAGAAAGUGACGGUACCUUAGGAAUAAGCCUCGGCUAACUCCGUGCCAGCAGCCGCGGUAAUACGGAGGAUGCGAGCGUUAUCCGGAUUUAUUGGGUUUAAAGGGUGCGCAGGCGGAAGAUCAAGUCAGCGGUAAAAUUGAGAGGCUCAACCUCUUCGAGCCGUUGAAACUGGUUUUCUUGAGUGAGUGAGAAGUAUGCGGAAUGCGUGGUGUAGCGGUGAAAUGCAUAGAUAUCACGCAGAACUCCGAUUGCGAAGGCAGCAUACCGGCGCUCAACUGACGCUCAUGCACGAAAGUGUGGGUAUCGAACAGGAUUAGAUACCCCAGUAGUC
rnacentral:rRNA from 1 species